AUCUCUAAAGGGUUAGUCGUAUAGAACCCGAACUCAGCUGUUCUCUACCAUCAAGCAAGGCAAAAGAAGAAAGGCUUGGCGCUACUCUGCAGCAACAUUUGGGCUAGAUAGAAAUAAGAAAUCCUAAAAGCACAUGGGUUUCUCUACAACAGCGAUUCUUCCCUAAUGCUGGCACGUUGCCACUGGCGAUGGUAGAUUGUGAUGUGGCUGCAGCAUGAUGGCCUUGUUACAGGGAAGAGUGUUAUCCAACAAAUGCUUUCUUUAGCCCUGAACUUCUUAACUGGGGGCUCAUGGAAGAGGUCUUUAGUUGGUCCUCAGAGGAUCUGUGAACUCCAUGAAAUGGUACGCAAGAUUUUUUUGUAUGAUCAUUUUCCUAAGAGAAGUUACCAUGCUUUUGCCACAUUCCCAGCGGGAUCACUGCCAAAAAGGUUCAGAACCGCCGCUCUGGUCCCUGCUCAGUUCCUGGAAGUCACUUCCUACGGGUGUAUGGAACCAAGGGAGUUUGACCCCAAACAAGAUUCUAUUACAACAGAACCUGAGGGACUAUGUUCCAGUCCGGUGAGGAGAGGGGCAGCCGGUUGGCUUCCGGAAGGAUCGCCGAGGACCGCGGCUGCUCUCUCCCCCAUCCUUCUCGGCAGCGAGUGGCAGGCCUGCGCACACCCGUGUCCCUCAGAGGUUUCGGACCACAUCUGGGACUGCCAGGAUCGUUAGGAAGUUCUGGAGCUCGGGGAUGGAGAAGGCGUCCCACUGCGAGGCAUGAGGGGGAUGAGGGAGAAACAGAAGAGGAGACCGGUCAGAAGCCGCACCAGCUGAGGGGCCCACACUGCCUCCCGCGUGUGCAUGGUUCACAAACGGUGUGCUACUGAGUAGGCAGAGGCAGGGCAUAAAGCUUGGGUUUCCCUUGUCAUACCAGCAACCAGAUUUCAGAUCCUGGCAUCUCAUGACCAAAAGGUACCAGUCCAUGAAUGGUGUUUUAUUUGGAGGAUCAACCAUCUUCCAUUUUGUCUGUGGCAGCUGAGAUCUGCCCGGGGCCCCCGCUGGCCUGUUUAGCUGUCUGCUGUGGGGCGAUGAGCCACUGGCUCUCAGUGUGCAGACCCCCAAGAGGCAGAUGAGCUGGACUCGGCCUCCGGAGACCAGGUUUCAGCCUGACUGCACCACAUGGUCUUGGGCACAUCACCGCACCCUUCACCUGCCUGUUCAUCUGCCACCGGCUUCGGGUAUCCGCCCCCCUUGGCCGGCAGAGCAGACAACGUGGUGACAUAACCUGUAAAGCUCUGCAGAGCCCGGCUGGCCCAGGCCUGCCCCGAUGGGACCUGGACCCCCAGGGCAGAAGGCCCGGCUCACUGCUCUCAGGCUGACCCAGGAGCAGAGCCCCCGCCCCACUCUGUGGAGCCAGGGAUUUUGACUCCUAAGCUCUUUGGAGCACUAAAGAAUAUUCAGGUUUAUCUAGUUUAAUCCCCACAUUGCAUCACUGAGGAGACGGAAGCCCACGAAGGGAAGGUGGAAGGGCUGCUGGGACAGAGCUGUGGCAGCACAAUGGGAAUUAGAGCCCUGGUCCCUGAACUCCAGGCCCGUGAGCUCUGCGCCGGGCCAGCAGCGUCGGACAUUGUCUGCAGAGUACUUUUUCUGAACAAAAUCUUACGCACUUCGAUGUAUAAAGCAGACAGGGGAGGCAGAGCUGCCGGCCUGAAGCAGGGAGAAGGGACAGAGCCCUAACACCCGCCUGGACGCCCCGCAUCUCCAUGGCGACUCCUGAGACCACUCCCACUAGGCAGAGGCCUCCACCCAGCACAGCGGGUGCUCCCCACCCCGGCCACUCCGUGACUCCAACUGCCAAGUACCCCAGGCCACGGAGAGCGCCAGCCUGAUCGCACCCUCAUUCGCGCCGCCAGACGGGACUCUGAGGGACUCCCCUUUUUGGAAGGAGGUCGGUUUUUAAGAACCAGGAAGAGACCCAUGGCUCAAACAUCUCAGUGUGUCUGAGACGGAGCUUGCCGGGCCUCAGGCCAUUCUGGAGCAAAAAUCACCUGGUGAACAUACAACUUCCCCAGUGCCCCUCCACCCUGGGUUUUCAGAAAUAAAGCCCAUGAAAUCC